rnacentral:pre_miRNA from 1 species
AGAGGGAUAGCUGGGUCAAAUGGUGGUUCCAUUCCCAGAUUUCCAAGGAAUCUCCAUACUGCUUUCCAUAAUGGCUGCACCAAUUUGCAGUCCCACCAGCAAU